rnacentral:misc_RNA from 1 species
CGUUGGUUCUCAACGCUCUCAAUGGGGGCUCUGUUGGUUCUCCCGCAACGCUACUCUGUUUACCAGGUCAGGUCCGGAAGGAAGCAGCCAAGGCAGAUGACGCGUGUGCCGGGAUGUGGCUGGCAGGGCCCCCACCCA